rnacentral:rRNA from 1 species
AUGCUGUUGGGCGCGAAGGUGGUUCCCCGCGACAAGGCUGUGCUGAAGCAAGGAGGCGGCGACGGCUCGGGAUCCGACGGCUCUCCCGGGAAGGCGCGCACCAAGCGUGGCAGCAGCAAGAGGAGAGACAGGGAGGAGAAGCGGAGGCGGAGGCACCGGCGGAGGAGCCGGCGCAGGUCGGACAGCUCGGAGGAGGGGUCGGACGACUCGGUCGACGAGGAGGAGGAGAAGGAGCUGAGCCGGAGCAAGCACCGGAGGAAGCGCCGCAGGGGGCGCCGCGACUUCUCCGACGAGGAUGAAUCCAGCGCCGAAUCUGAUAAAGGAAGAGGUAGUGGCAAGGGGAAGCAAAGAGGUGCUGCAAGUGAUGAUGAUGACGAUGAUGAUGAUGAUGAUGAGGAUGAAGAGGAAGAGAUGGGAGGCGACGGGAUGAGGGCGGGUGAGGUUGUCAGAAAGGAGAUGGGCCUUGAAUGGAUGCUUAAAUCGGCAAGCAGCAGUCAGCCGGAGGGCAGCCGUGCUCAGAGGGCUGAGAACGAGGAGGACAAGUUUGAGGCUACACAUGAAGAGGUGAAGAAACCUAACCCGAAAGAAAUGAACCCCUAUUUGAGGGACAAUGGCAGUGGCUAUCCUGAUGAAGCCACCGCUGCAAAUGCAGCCAGUCAGUUGCUUGCAUCUUCUGUUGUCGGUGACGGAGGUGCUAGCUGGCGGCUUAAGGCUUUGAAACGUGCAAAAGAGCAAGCAGCUCGUGAAGGUAGAAAGAUUGAGGAGGUAGUUGAAGAGAGAUGGGGUUCAUUGGGUCACUUAGCCGCAUCAGUCUCAACAUCCAGAGUUGCCCCUUCUUAUGCCCAUUUGCAGGCCAUUAGGGGUAGAAAAGCUGGACAAGGAGACUACUCUGAGAAAUCCUCCAAAGUAGAUCGGAAGGAGGACCAGCGAGGCGAGGAGAGUGGUGGUGGUCGCCAAUAUUUGCAAGGCGUCUCCUCCCGGGAUCAUGCAAUGAGAAAACCCAGGCCUGAUUCUGUACCUUGGAAGAAAAACAGACAGAAUAUAUCCUCUGAGGAUCAAACGCUCAUCUCGUCAGCACUAGCAAGCAUCAACAAAUUUUCUAACGAUGGAAGCUUUAUGGAUAAAAUCAGUAACCAUGGUAGUAAAAAUUCAAAUGUUUCAAAUGUCGAGAAGAGGGAUAGUGAUCAGAAAGCCCACCAGGAGAGUUCAAAGAUAUCAUCUUCAGUGAGCACACAAAAGCAGCAGGAGAGUUCAAAGAUAUCAUCUUCAGUGAGCACACAAAAGCAGGAGAGUUCAAAGAUAUCAUCUUCAGGUAGCACUCAAAAGCUAAAUGCAAACCAGUUAGCUGCGAAGGUUCUGCAGCUCCGAAUGAAAGGCAAGCACGAAGAAGCUGACCAACUUUCGAGAGAAAUGGAGACUGUGCUGGAAAACCAGAGUGCUUCUGUUGAAGAGCCUAGGCAUGUAAAGGAAAAUAGCUCAACCAGGCAUACAAUAAAGCCCAGUGCAGCUGAUCGCAGGAAAAGAGAAGAGGAUGCUGACCUCCAUCUUGCAAAUAAAAUUAUGCACAACAAACAGUACAACAUGAGUAAAAGUGUAGAGGAUGAAUAUGAAUAUGGUGAUGCUCCCACUAAGAAAGGCAAAAGGACCAGAGAGGCACACCAGGAGAAUAGGGGCACUCAGAGACAUAUUUUAACUCAGAAAGAGCGCUGUUUGUAUUGCUUUGAGAACCCAUCCAGGCCAAAGCAUCUGGUUAUUGCUAUAGGGAACUUCACUUACUUGAUGCUGCCACAGUUUGAGCCUCUUGUUCCUGGGCACUGUGUCAUUCUUCCAUUGCAGCAUGAGUCUUCAACAAGAACAGUUGAUAAAAAUGUCUGGGAGGAGAUUCGCAACUUCAAGAAGUGCCUUCUGAAGAUGUUUGCGCAGCAGGACAAGGAUGUGGUUUUCAUGGAGACUGUCAUAAGCCUGGUCAAACAGCAGAGGCAUUGCAUGAUUGAAUGCAUCCCUGUCCCAUGCGAAGUUUCAAACAAAGCACCCAUGUACUUCAAGAAGGCGAUCGACGAAGUUGAGGAGGAAUGGUCACAGCACGAGAUGAAGAAGCUCAUUCCAACGACCGGUAACCUGCGGCAGGUCAUCCCGGAGAACUUCGCCUACUUCCACGUGGAGUUUGGUCUGGACCGCGGGUUCGUCCACGUGAUAGACGACGAGAGCAAGUUCGGUGCUGGUUUCGGGCUGAAUGUACUCAGAGGGGUGCUCCGGUUGCCGGGGGAGGACAUGCACCGUCGCCGGAGGCACGAGUCCAUGGAUAACCAGAAGCAAGCCGUCGCCAGCUUCAUGAAGGACUGGGAGCCCUUCGACUGGACGAAGCAGCUCGAGUAG